rnacentral:rRNA from 1 species
CAAUAGCGUAUAUUAAAGUUGUUGCAGUUAAAAAGCUCGUAGUUGGAUUUCGGGGUGGCCUGGCUGGUCCGCCGCAAGGUGAGUACUGGUCAGCCGCCCUUCCUCUCGAAAGCCCCGACUGCUCUUUACUGCGGUGGUCGGGUAGUUCGGGACGUUUACUUUGAAAAAAUUAGAGUGUUCAAGGCAGGCUAUCGCCUGAAUACAUUAGCAUGGAAUAAUGGAAGAGGACCUCGGUCCUAUUUUGUUGGUUUCUAGGGCCGAAGUAAUGAUUAAGAGGGACAGUUGGGGGCAUUCGUAUUUAAUUGUCAGAGGUGAAAUUCUUGGAUUUAUGAAAGACGAACUAGUGCGAAAGCAUUUGCCAAGGAUGUUUUCAUUAA